CUUGUCUAUUUAUAGAAAUACGUCUUGCCCUUUACUUAAGAGGCAGUGACUUGGAGAAGCAGAUAUUUAGAGGAAGUCCAUUUGCUUGACAAAAACAUCUAUUACUUUUAUCACCAUUGGAGACCGAAAAAGAAUCAAUUACAAUACUUCACUUGGGAAUGACUAAUUGAAUUGUGAAACAUACUGAUGUUCUGAAGUCACCGAGGCUGGUACGCAAAGCAGACAGUUCACUGAGGUUAAAGAUAUUGAUAAUAAUGAUGAGAAAGGAAAGAAGGAAAUCAUAAGAAAAAUAAACUGAUAUCAACCUAUGACUGCACCCAAACCAUCAAGAUAUUUUCAUGCAAUAGUCAUGUGCAGUGACCAGUGGAGUAUUUAGACUACACCCUACAUACUUAUGCUGGUCAAGGUAAGGUCUAAGAUAUGCAGAUUGCUUUUGCAACAGGCAGUGUUGAGGUUUGUUCUAAGGCUUCAUUCCCAUGGGAAUUUAUUUUGCACUAGGUCAGUGUUGAGGGAGCUCUGUCUAUUGCACUGACACAGAUGUUUUACAAAAGCAGCUGCUCUGGCUGGGAAGAUUCUAAUACACUCAUUUCAUUUGAGCUUUCUUCUCUGGAUACUACCAGUGGAUUUGCUAUGCCUUUAAUUUUUCCCCUUUCA
rnacentral:lncRNA from 1 species